rnacentral:rRNA from 1 species
CUGUAAGCCUGCGAAGGUGUGCUGUGAGGCAUGCUGGAGGUAUCAGAAGUGCGAAUGCUGACAUAAGUAACGAUAAAGCGGGUGAAAAGCCCGCUCGCCGGAAGACCAAGGGUUCCUGUCCAACGUUAAUCGGGGCAGGGUGAGUCGACCCCUAAGGCGAGGCCGAAAGGCGUAGUCGAUGGGAAACAGGUUAAUAUUCCUGUACUUGGUGUUACUGCGAAGGGGGGACGGAGAAGGCUAUGUUGGCCGGGCGACGGUUGUCCCGGUUUAAGCGUGUAGGCUGGUUUUCCAGGCAAAUCCGGAAAACUAAGGCUGAGGCGUGAUGACGAGGCACUACGGUGCUGAAGCAACAAAUGCCCUGCUUCCAGGAAAAGCCUCUAAGCAUCAGGUAACAUCAAAUCGUACCCCAAACCGACACAGGUGGUCAGGUAGAG